rnacentral:rRNA from 1 species
UUAAUGUGAAUUGCAGGACACAUUGAACAUCGACAUCUUGAACGCAUAUUGCGGCCUAGGGUCACUCCCUUGGCCACGCCUGUCUCAGGGUCGGUGAAACAAACUUCGCAAGCAAAUUGCUCUGUACUCGGCUUGCGCAUUGGGCUGUCGAAGUCCUUCGGGACUCCGUCGCCUCAAGUUCAGACCCGAUUGCUUCGGCACGUCGCGUCUUGCGGUCUCGACCACACAUGACGUAGCUCGCUGUAUCUGAUUGUCACGCAAGCACUACGCCGGUCGUCCGACUGCGAGUCGUGUCGCCGAGAGCGGUCGAAAGAAAGUUGCUACUUCUCUUAUUCGAAAAAACUUUCACCUCCGACCUGAGAUCAGACGAGACAACCCCCUGAAUUUAAGCAUAUCACUAAGGGGAGGAAAAGAAACUAACUAGGAUUCCCUCAGUAACGGCGAGUGAGCGGGAAGAGCA